GGGCCCGCCGCGCAGCCCCGAGCCCCCGCCGCGCCCCGCCGGCACCUCCGAGGCCGUGCCCGGCGUGGCGGGGCUGCGCAACCACGGCAACACCUGCUUCAUGAACGCCAUCCUGCAGUGCCUCAGCAACACCGAGCUCUUCGCCGAGUUCCUGGCGCUGGAGCAGUUCCGCGGCGGGCCGCCCCCCGCCGACGGGCCGCCGCCCGCGCCCGGCGAGGUCACGGAGCAGCUGGCGCAGCUGGUGCGGGCGCUCUGGACGCUCGAGUACACCCCGCAGCACAGCCGCGACUUCAAGAACAUCGUGUCCAAGAACGCGAUGCAGUACCGCGGGAACGCCCAGCACGACGCCCAGGAGUUCCUGCUCUGGCUGCUCGACAGAGUCCACGAGGAUUUGAACAACGUGGUGAACUCCGGUGGCAUGCCUCCACUCAAGCCGCCGCUGGAGGAUGAUGUGCUGCUGGAGGGCCCAGCCUUUCCCAUCAGUAGCACGUUUGUGCAGGAACUCUUUCAAGCCCAGUACAGGUCCUCCCUGACGUGCCCUCAUUGCCAGAAGCAGAGCAACACCUUUGACCCUUUCCUGUGCAUCUCGCUGCCGAUCCCUCUGCCGCACACUCGGCCCCUCUAUGUCACCGUGGUGUACCAGGGCAAGUGCUCGCACUGCAUGCGCAUCGGGGUGGCCGUGCCCAUCUCCGGAACAGUGGCCAGGCUGAGGGAGGCUGUCUCCUCGGAAACCAAGAUACCCACGGAGCAGAUCGUGCUGACAGAGAUGUACUACGAUGGGUUCCAUCGCUCCUUCUGCGACACCGACGACUUGGACACCAUCCACGAGAGCGACUGCAUCUUUGCCUUUGAGACCCCAGAGAUCUUCAGGCCUGAGGGCAUCCUCAGUCAGAGAGGAAUACAUGUGAACAAUAACCUGAAUAACUUGAAAUGUGGCACUGAGCACUCCCGAACAAUAGCUUACUCUCAAGGAACGGUGAAGUCUGGAAAACUGGAACAGUCCUGUCCCAAACUAGCAGCAAAUGACAAGAUUGUCUUGCUGGUGUGUAACAGAGCGUGCACUGGACAGCAGAGCAAAAGGUUUGGCUUGCCCUUUGUGUUGCACUUGGAAAAAACAAUUGCUUGGGAUAUUCUGCAGAAGGAAAUACUGGAGAAGAUGCAGUAUUUCCUGCGGCCUGCAGCCUGCUUGCAGGUUUGCCCCUUCAGCCUGCGAGUGGUCAGUGUUGUGGGCAUAACAUACUUGCUACCUCAGGAGGAGCGACCCCUCUGCCACCCAACAGUGGAAAGGGCAUUGAAGUCAUGCGGACAGGGGGGAACUGCUCAUGUGAAAUUAGUGGUAGAAUGGGACAAAGAAACUAAAGAUUACUUGUUUGUGAAUACAGAAGAGGAAUAUAUUCCAGACUCUGAAAGCGUCCGCCAGCAGAGAGAGCUUCAUCAUCAACCUCAGAUCUGCACUUUAUCUCAGUGUUUCCAACUGUACACCAAAGAGGAACAGCUUGCCCCAGAUGAUGCAUGGCGAUGCCCACACUGCAAGCAGCUGCAGCAGGGCAGCAUCACACUGAGCCUCUGGACCUUACCUGACGUUCUCAUCAUACAUCUCAAAAGGUUUAGGCAGGAAGGAGACCGAAGGAUGAAACUUCAGAACAUGGUUAAAUUUCCCUUGAGUGGCUUGGACAUGACUCCUCACGUUGUGAAACGCAGCCAGAGCAGCUGGAGCUUGCCAUCACACUGGUCACCUUGGAGGAAACCUUAUGGCCUCGGCAGAGAUCCUGAGGACUACAUCUAUGACCUGUAUGCUGUCUGCAACCACCACGGCACCAUGCAAGGCGGGCAUUAUACAGCAUAUUGCAAGAAUUCUGUUGAUGGCCAGUGGUACUGCUUCGAUGACAGUGAAGUUCAGCAACUUUCUGAAAGUGAAGUCUGCAAGCAGACCGCUUAUAUCUUGUUCUACCAGCGACGCACAGCGAUCCCCUCGUGGUCUGCCAACAGCUCGGUGGCAGGCUCCACCAGCUCGUCGCUGUGCGAGCACUGGGUCAGCCGGCUCCCGGGCAGCAAGCAGCCCAGCGUCGCCUCGGCCGCCUCCUCGCGCCGCACCUCGCUCGCCUCGCUCUCCGAGUCCGUGGAGCUGACCGGGGAACGCAGCGAAGAUGACGGAGGAUUUUCAACUCGACCAUUUGUAAGGAGUGUCCAGCGUCAGAGCUUGUCAUCCAGAUCCUCUGUCACCAGCCCUCUGGCAGUGAGUGAAAAUGGUGUCAGGCCCUCGUGGUCACUCUCUGCAAAGCUGCAGUUCCGCUCCAACUCCCCGUCGCGCUUCUCUGGAGACUCCCCAGUACAUACCUCUGCUUCCACUCUGGAGAAGAUUGGGGAAGCUGCUGACGAUAAAGUUUCCACCUCGUGCUUUGGCAGCCUGAGGAAUCUCUCUAGCAGCUACUUGGAGCCCUGUGACAGCAGCCGGCGGGAGCACAGGACAGCUCGCAGAGCCCCUUUGGCUGUCAUGGAAGGGGCGUUCAGGGAAGAGUCCGUUGUAAGGACAUCUAGCUCAGACCUUUCAGAUGGGUAUGGUAAAAGCUCUGUGCAGCCAGACAGGAAUCACCCUGCUCUGGACCCCUUUGAUAACAACAAUCAAAUUGCCUUUGUUGACCAGAGUGACUCUGUGGACAGCUCCCCAGUGAAGGAGGUGAAAGCCCCAGCUGGGACGGGGCUGCCUGCAGAGAAGGCACAUGACACCCCUAAGAAGGGUCACAGCUCCAAAGGAGCUUCUGAGCCAGACAAAAGUUUGAGGAAGGGAAGGACAGUCUUAGCUACCCAAGAGACCAAAGUCUCUCACUCUUCUCCUCCACUGAAGAGUUCUCAGAAAGCUUCCCGGUCUAGAAGUAAGACAGACUCCUCUAGGGUCAGCGGGCGACACGGGUCUCCUGCUCCCACGCAGGCUAGGAAGGACCACAGCACAAAGCCCCUGGAGGCAUCUGUCCCUUCAGCUCCACAGAAGCAGAAGUCAGGUUCUCCAUCCUCCACGGCUGCCAAGAAAACCCCGUCAGGCUCAUUGACUAAGGGCUCUUCCUCCGGGAAGAGCCGGACUGCCGAGCGCAGCCUCAGCAGGGAGGGCUCCAAGGUCAGUCUGGGGUCGGAUAAAGCGAGCGUUACCAGCAGCUCCAGGACCAGCUCCCCACGGAUCAGCCACUCCAGGAGUGACAGCAGGGCGGUGGACAGCAAGCACGUGCGCAGCUCCUCCAUGGCCAACCUGCGCUCCCCGAACGUCGCGGCGCGUUCUGGCCUGAAGAGGGACAGCAAGUCGGAAGAGAAGGGUUUGUCUUUCUUUAAAUCAGCCUUAAGGCAGAAGGAGACACGGAGGUCGGCAGACCUGGGGAAGACAACAAUGCUUUCAAAAAAGGCAGGGAGUGUCAGUUCCAAGUCGGGCAGUAAAAAUGUGCUGGAGGACAAACCGGAGAAAGGUGGUGUCCCACCAGCCUCUCAAACCAAUGCCAACAUUGCUACAAAAGAAAAACUUGUCUCAAAAGAUGCCACAUCUAACAAACAUUCUCUGCUAUCCAGUCGCAAGUCCAAGUCUUCCCAGCUAGAUCCCGGAGUCCAGUCUCCUCCUUCCAGUGGCAAGCAGUCUGCUGACAAGCCGCUGAAAAAAAUACCUUCCAGCAUGCAGGUGUCUGUACGGCCUUCUCUGGAACCUCAGUGAAAUGCUGCAAUCCAGGUGUCUUUUCUUCUGCUGAGAAGCUAAUUUAUUCUGAGCUCUUGUUUUUUGUUCAUGUGCCUAAUGUAUGUUUUGAGGAGAAGUUAACUGCAAGUUGUUAAAGCGCCUUUGAUUCUGCCAUCAAACCAAAUAGCCACAGGCAGCCAGCACUGGUGCAAGUAGCCUAGCUGGAGUCGUUGUUGAACAUGAAUGCAGCUGUCCCAUAGCACUUGUACAGGAGUCUCUGUCGAAAGUGCAACAACUUUCUUCAGAUUUGAGGGUUGGGACCUGACCCCCCGUUGUACUGACACUGGUGUGCUUUGUAGAGCUGUGAACUGAUAUUCCUUUGGUCCUGUUCUGAGUGGGCUGUGUCCACACUGGUGUAUGGCCUUGUUCUGAGCUGUGGAGGAUGCGAAGGAAACUGGAGAGACUGUCGCUUCUUUCUGCUCUCAACUCCCUGUCCCUGCUCCCCUCCAUUUCCAAGCUUUCUAAAGGGCAAUAUUUCAACACUAAUGUUGUUUCUCAGGAACUCCUGUCCGUGGUAUUGUGUUGUCCAGCUGCCAGGAUGUGGCAUGGUACCAGGGAACACUCGAGAGAGGGAUCUGCCAAGUCCUAGAUGCCAACACCACCGUGGCUUUGCAUAUGGAUCCUUCAAGCAGCAAUGGCUUGAGGCUCUUCUGGAGCAGCUGCAUUUACAUGGUCAUGUCUUAAAGUUCCUGCUGGCCAUCAGAAGCACUCAUGGCUCUGGGGGAGGUGGGCUCUGCCAUCUCCCAGAGGCUGCUGCUGCCCAGGGACCUCUGCCUCCCCUGGCUGGUGGCACGUAGGGCCUGGAAGUCUCAUGGGCAUCUGAGUGUGGUGGGAGCAGCUGCUGCCAGCUCUGUCCUGCCCUGCCUGUCUGGGGAGGGCGGGGUCUGGGACCUUCUGCCGAGGUUUUGGAAGCAAAGGUAUGCCUCAUGGUGAUGGGAACUGCCUGGGAAGGGGGAGGCCCAGCAGUGUCCCUGAUCCCAGACAGGUGAGCUCCAAGGCAAAGCAGGUGUUCAGGCAGUGUGUUUCCACUUGGCUUUGGGUUGGAGUUGCCUGUGCCAGCGUGUGACUUGCAUUUCACCCCACGUCCCUAGUCUGCCACUUGCUCCUGCUCCUGGAAUUGGCCCCCUGGGCGCAGGAGAGCAGCGCCUUCAUUCCAGUGCUCAAUUCCUGCAGGAGUCACCUAGAGACUUUUUUUUUUUACCCUUUUCGGGCUGUGUCUUUUGGACAGUGUUUAGUAGUAUUCAAGUUAUAAGCACAUUUUCGAUGACGUGUAUUGAAGAGGCACCUUUUAUUUGUAUUAAUCACAUUUGAUAGACAAUUUGGUGCCUGCAGUUCUCUGUAACUUGUGUCUCACUUUGGGUGUGUAAAUUGUUAACCCUUUCACACUUAUCAAAUAUGAAUUAAUAAAAACAAGAUGCUUAGGAUAGAAAGCUAGCAGCUUAAUUGCACUUCUCCCACUGCAAGUGCCCUCAUGCGCCGUCGCUGCAGGGGUUUUGCUUCCUGAAGCUGAACUUGAGCAUGCCCAACCACUUUCCUCGGUGCCAGGCAGCUUGCAUGGCCGUGCUGUCCCCUGCAUGUCCCUCCUAACUAUGCAAGCCUCAGCCCAGCGUGGCUCUGGAGCUGGUGCAGCUGCUGCUGGACACAGGAGCAUGUCCCUGGGCCCUGCUUCCUUUGCACAUCUUUGGCUCUUUCCUUUGCAGGAUUCCGCGUUACUGACAAGGCUGGAGCGUAACGUAAGGGUGUGCAGUGCUGGCUCCAGACGCAGAGGAGAGCGUGGAUGGGCGGCUCCUGCUGCCACCUGCCCCAGCCCGGCGAGGAUGAGGAUGGAGCAAGGCAGGAGGAGGACAGGCUGCCUCUGCUGGGUGCUGAAUGGAAACCCUCUGUCCUUGGUGGAGUGUUUGCAUGAGCCAGCCUGGGCAGGGAGAGCUGCUCCAGCUGCCAGUCUCGGGGCAAAGGGGGCACAGGAGGCUUUGCCCACCCAGGGUCUCCUCUGGGCAGGGGGAUGGAAGAGGACGUGCCCCCUGUGCCUGCAGCCCUCUCUGUGUGGACUCAGAUCCUCCUGCUCCAGUGAGCCCUCGGAUCAGUGCAUCAGGGGCUGGCCUGGGCUUCACAAACUCGCCUUUUAACACAAUUUUUGACUCUCAAGGGUUCUUUUUCUCUCCUGCUCCAUGCACAUUUUUGCAGGCGGGGACUGUUGCCAGGUGAGCAGCAUUAUCACCCCCAUGUGCUCACCAAAGGGGAGCUGUCAGUGAAUCCCCCUGGUUCCCCAAACCCCCAGAGGGGCUGUCCUGGUCUCCCCUUGCCUGGUGGUGGUUACAGAAAUGCUGAUGUUGGUGUUUAUCAACAGCUAAGCUGCAUCACCCUUGCCCACACGGUCCCGGGGCCCUGGGGGACACACGGCCCCUGCCGUGGAGCCUUGGUCUGUGUUUCCAUGUUCCCAUCCAUCCUGCUGGGCGUGCUGAGCUGGAGCUGAGCCCUGGGCUGAGGAGCUGGCUGCUGCCCUGGCCAGUCCCACACACGAAUCCCACCCCUGCCUGCACCAGAGGCUCUGCUUCACAGCUCGUGUAGAAAUGGGGAUGGCAGAUGUCAUAUUAAAUCAUGGGGUCAUCACUUAUUUAUAGGUGAUUACAUUAAAGAGAGAUUAAUAUAGCCAAAGGCUUCGCAGAAUUAGAGUUAAUGUACUUGUGUUUAUUAUAUUUGCCAACAUUUCUCCAAUCCAGCUGGGUUUUUCUGGCCACAGGGUUUAGCAGAGAGCCCACUGCCAUCCCCCAGCCUACCUGGGAGGGGGGUGCGAGGUCCAUGGAGAACCCUUGAGAACUCUGAUCUUGGAGUGGUCAGUUCUGCUGCCUCCCACUUCCUGAGGGUCCGUGGGCAGCGCCUGGGGCACGGGGAGGGCAGGGCAGGACUCAGCAAUGCUUAGAGUGGGGUCGGGAGGGGAGCCCGGCCUUGGGGCUCCCAGAUGCCACUCUCAGGCUGGGAUUAUGCUGUGUUUAACUGGGAUUAGACUGCUGCAGAGCUGGGCACGGGUUUCUGACACCCUGGGGACGGGCUGUGUCCCUGAGGGGCACUGGUGGGGACGUGCCAGCUGUGUCCUUGGUCCUGUGUCCCCAGAGCCUGGUCGGCUGUCACCUGUCCCGUGGGCUCUAGGGUGGCUGCUGCCAGCUCAGGGGACACCAGCAGAGCUGCCCUGCUGAUGGAUGAACCAGAGGAGCCAAGAACACCCUGUGUUUGGCUGGAGAUGCCAAACCACACAGGACUGGGCACUGGCUGUGCCAGUCAGGACUGGGUGCAUAGAGUGGAUGUGUGACUCCCUGCUGCUGCCUGGUGGGACACCUGCCUGCCUCUGAGAGCCAGAACAAAACCCACGCUCUGGGAGGCUGUCAAUAAAUUGUAACACAUUAGGCACUGUCACCCCUACCCCUGGACUCUUAAAUUUUGCUCUAAUUGGAGUACUGUUUUUCCUUCCUCAGCACUUUUUCCCCUCGGCCAGGUAUCGAUCCUGGCUCUGUGGGGAUCUGGCUAACUGUUGGCAAUUUAUGGGAACAUAAAACUAGUCCAUCGUAGAGCAAAAACCCAGCUUUUAAUGAGAAAUGGCGACAUCGGCCUCUGGCUGAUUCCAAGGUGGAUUUACCAUUCUACAGUGGGUCCCCAGGCCAGGGGAACAGGGGCUGUUGGGGGAAAGGGACCAUGAGGAGCCCCUUGGGCUGGGCUAGCUUGUGGGCAGGAGAGGCCUGAGGGGCUUUUGAAGAUGAGGGGGUCUCCUUUCUGGUCUCCUGUGCCCCUUCCCAUGGUGGUUGAGGUUCUGGCUGGGGUCCCCUGACCCCACAGCACCUGGGUCCAUAGUGUGUCCCCUCCUGCCUGGAGCUUGGUCCUGCUGCUGUGUGGCAGGAGCUGGUGGGCUGCAGCCUGGGCUGGGGCUGCAGGACACCUCUGGGAGUGAAGGGCUCAGGUGCUGGGCAACCUCCCAGCUCUUCCACCUUCCUUGCUCAGCUGCCCAGCCCCUCGUGGGGCUCUCCCCUGGUGAUGGAUGCCGGUGGCUUUGCAGCUUGAGGCUGGCUGUGAAUUCCCAGACCUGUGGGCCUUCAUCCCGCUGGGCUGUUCCUGCAGGUUUGGGGCAGUGGGCUCCUUGGGGGCAGGUCUGUGGGAUGAGGGGGCAGCUGGCACUCCCAGCCCCGCUCCUGAGCAUCCCCUCGCUCCCAGCCCGGCCAGCCGUGGCUCCCAGCCCGCAGACACGCUGUGCCCGCUCUGUCGCGCAGCGCCAGGGCGUGUUGUGGUGGGUGUCCCGGUGUGGAGCAGCUGCUCUCCCCGCCAUUUGCUGCCAUCUAAUUGCGGCUUUAUUGAAAUGAGUCUAAAUUGCCUGGGAAUGCAUUAGCCCGCUGUCUCCCUGCGGCUCGCUCCGCAGAACGCUCCCGUUCGCAAUCUCGUGGAACCGGCUCCCUGGAGAACCGGCGCAUUUCCCAACAGCCUUAAUGAGCUUCCAGGCUGGGGUCGGAUUGUCUGGGCAGUGGUAACGGGGCCGGGGGCUCGCCCCUGCUGCCCCCAGCUCUGUGCUCCAGGCUGUGGAUAAAUAACUCUGCCCUGAGUCCCUUUGCUCCGGCAGCAGGCGCAGUGUGCACGUCGCAAAGCAAUUCUGGAGCCCCCGGGACAGUCUUGAAGCACUUUAAUGUUUUGCGAAUGAUUUAUUGAGGGUAACGAGCAGAUGAUAGACUGCAUUUCGAGGUGUGGAUUAUCUAUUAGAGCUCGUGUUGAAGGCAUCUGCGCUGACAAGCUGCUGCCGAGCAAGGCGAGUACGAGCGAUCUGUUGUGUUACAGGAGGGGUCAGCACCUCCUGCGGCAGCUUGGAGAGAGCCCAGUGCCCCGCCCGUGCUCUGGGGACAGCUCUGGGGACAGUCCUCUCUGAACCCCGGCUCGCAGCUCCUGUCACGCCUGGCCAGGAGGAGCUUGGUGGCGAUUCCCCCGGCGCUGGAUGGGCUCAUGGGCCGUGACACCCCCUCUGCAGCUCUCAGGGACAGAGCCGGGCAGGUGCUCCGCUGAUUUACGAGGUGAUUUGGAUCGUGGGGCCGGUCCCGGGCCCUGCUGCCCACCCUGCGGAAGGCG